rnacentral:tRNA from 1 species
GGGCGUGUAGCUCAGUGGUAGAGCGGUUGUCUUAUACACAAUUGGUCGCAGGUUCAAAUCCUGCCGCGCCCA